rnacentral:misc_RNA from 1 species
CACUGAUCCGAGAAUCAUCCAUUGUUAGAUUUCCAUUUUCUGGGGUAUUAUCUCGUGUAAGGAACAAUGUUUCCAAAUAUAGCACAACAGCUGGGACAGCAGUGCCUUUGGAAAGAAAGGGUNNNAAAAAUAUUGUUCUUCAUCUUUCAUUGCAAAGGAGAAUAGAGCACCUUGGUAGGGCUACAGCCAACACUAAAACUCACCAGGCUCCAUUUCGCAACAUGAUGUUUUAUGGACCUCCUGGCA